rnacentral:rRNA from 2 species
AACUUAAGCAUAUCAAUAAGYGGAGGAAAAGAAACUAACAAGGAUUCCCUUAGUAACUGCGAGUGAAGUGGGAAGAGCUCAAAUUUGUAAUCUGGCAGCUCUAUGGCUGUCCGAAUUGUAAUCUGGAGAAGUGCUACCUGUGCUGGACCAUGUAAAAGUCUCCUGGAAUGGAGCAUCAUAGAGGGUGAGAAUCCCGUCUUUGACAUGGACUCCCAGGACUUUAUGGUACGCUCUCAAAGAGUCGAGUUGUUUGGGAAUGCAGCUCAAAAUGGGUGGUAAAUGCCAUCUAAAGCUAAAUAUUGGCGAGAGACCGAUAGCGAACAAGUACCGUGAGGGAAAGAUGAAAAGAACUUUGGAAAGAGAGUUAAACAGUACGUGAAAUUGCUGAAAGGGAAACGCUUGAAGUCAGUCGCAUCAGCUGGAAAUCAACCUUUGCUUUUGCUUGGUGUACUUUCUGUCUGAUGGGUCAGCAUCAAUUUUGGCUGCUAGAUAAAGUUCUUGGGAAUGUAGCAUCUCAGGAUGUGUUAUAGCUCUUGGACGUAUAUGGCAGUUGGGAUUGAGGAACUCAGCACGCCUCAUAGGCUGGGCUUGUCCACAUAACGUGCUUAGGAUGCUGGCAUAAUGGCUUUAAUCGACCCGUCUUGAAACACGGACCAAGGAGUCUAACAUGCAUGCGAGUGUUUGGGUGGAAAACCCAURYGCRUAAUGAAAGUGAUGGUUGAGAUCCCUGUCAUGGGGAGCAUCGACGCCCAGACCAGACCUUCUGUGACGGAUCUGCGGUAGAGCAUGUAUGUUGGGACCCGAAAGAUGGUGAACUAUGCCUGAAUAGGGUGAAGCCAGAGGAAACUCUGGUGGAGGCUCGUAGCGAUUCUGACGUGCAAAUCGAUCGUCAAAUUUGGGUAUAGGGGCGAAAGACUAAUCGAACCAUCUAGUAGCUGGUUCCUGCCG